rnacentral:rRNA from 1 species
GACGAACCGUGCGAACGUUGUUCGGAAUCACUGGGCUUAAAGGGCGCGUAGGCGGGUACGCAAGUCUGUGGUGAAAGCCUCCAGCUUAACUGGAGAAGUGCCAUGGAUACUGCGCAUCUUGAGGAGGGUAGGGGCGUCUGGAACGGUCGGUGGAGCGGUGAAAUGCGUUGAUAUCGACCGGAACUCCGGUGGCGAAGGCGAGGCGCUGGACCCUUUCUGACGCUGAGGAGCGAAAGCGUGGGGAGCGAACAGG